rnacentral:rRNA from 1 species
GACGAACGCUGGCGGCGUGCCUAACACAUGCAAGUCAACUUGACUGAAGGAGCAAUCUGACAGUAGAGUGGCGCAAGGGUGCGUAACGCGUAAGUAACUUGCCCAAGGUAAGGAAUAACGUCGAGAAAUCGGCGCUAAUACCUCAUAAUGCAGCGGAUCCGCAUGGAUAUGUUGUUAAAGGUUUACCGUCUUGGGAUAGGCUUGCGUCUGAUUAGCUAGUUGGUGUGGUAAACGGCACACCAAGGCUACGAUCAGUAACUGGUCUGAGAGGAUGAUCAGUCACACUGGAACUGAGACACGGUCCAGACUCCUACGGGAGGCAGCAGUGAGGAAUAUUGGGCAAUGCUCGAAAGAGUGACCCAGCAACGCCGCCGUGGAGGAUGAAGGUAUUCUAUAUCGUAAACUCCUGUGAGAGCAGACGAAAGACAGAUUAUUAAUCUGGAUGACUGUAUGCUCAGAGGAAGCCCGGCUAACUACG